rnacentral:tRNA from 2 species
GUCCCCAUCGUCUAGAGGCCCAGGACAGCGGCUUUUCACGUCGCGAACGGGGGUUCGACUCCCCCUGGGGACA